rnacentral:rRNA from 1 species
GAACCGUCCAAACGUUAUUCGGAAUCACUGGGCUUAAAGGGUGCGUAGGCGGUCCGGAAAGUUGGGUGUGAAAUCCCUCGGCUCAACCGAGGAAUUGCGCCCAAAACUUCCGGACUUGAGUGAGGCAGAGGUGAGCGGAACUUGCGGUGGAGCGGUGAAAUGCGUUGAUAUCGCAAGGAACACCAGUAGCGAAGGCGGCUCACUGGGCCUUUUCUGACGCUGAGGCACGAAAGCUAGGGUAGCGAACGGGAUUAGAUACCCCGGGUAGUCCUAGCUGUAAACGAUGAGCACUUGGCUGGAGGAGCUUCGGUUCUUCCAGCCGUAGCGAAAGUGUUAAGUGCUCCGCCUGGGGAGUAUGGUCGCAAGGCUG